UGAAUAUGGGGGGACCAUCCUCCAAGGCUAAAUACUCCUGACUGACCGAUAGUGAACCAGUACCGUGAGGGAAAGGCGAAAAGAACCCCGGCGAGGGGAGUGAAAAAGAACCUGAAACCGUGUACGUACAAGCAGUGGGAGCCUCUUAAUGGGGUGACUGCGUACCUUUUGUAUAAUGGGUCAGCGACUUAUAUUCUGUAGCAAGGUUAACCGAAUAGGGGAGCCGAAGGGAAACCGAGUCUUAACUGGGCGUUAAGUUGCAGGGUAUAGACCCGAAACCCGGUGAUCUAGCCAUGGGCAGGUUGAAGGUUGGGUAACACUAACUGGAGGACCGAACCGACUAAUGUUGAAAAAUUAGCGGAUGACUUGUGGCUGGGGGUGAAAGGCCAAUCAAACCGGGAGAUAGCUGGUUCUCCCCGAAAGCUAUUUAGGUAGCGCCUCGUGAAUUCAUCUCCGGGGGUAGAGCACUGUUUCGGCAAGGGGGUCAUCCCGACUUACCAACCCGAUGCAAACUGCGAAUACCGGAGAAUGUUAUCACGGGAGACACACGGCGGGUGCUAACGUCCGUCGUGAAGAGGGAAACAACCCAGACCGCCAGCUAAGGUCCCAAAGUCAUGGUUAAGUGGGAAACGAUGUGGGAAGGCCCAGACAGCCAGGAUGUUGGCUUAGAAGCAGCCAUCAUUUAAAGAAAGCGUAAUAGCUCACUGGUCGAGUCGGCCUGCGCGGAAGAUGUAACGGGGCUAAACCAUGCACCGAAGCUGCGGCAGCGACACUAUGUGUUGUUGGGUAGGGGAGCGUUCUGUAAGCCUGUGAAGGUGGCCUGUGAGGGUUGCUGGAGGUAUCAGAAGUGCGAAUGCUGACAUAAGUAACGAUAAAGCGGGUGAAAAGCCCGCUCGCCGGAAGACCAAGGGUUCCUGUCCAACGUUAAUCGGGGCAGGGUGAGUCGACCCCUAAGGCGAGGCCGAAAGGCGUAGUCGAUGGGAAACAGGUUAAUAUUCCUGUACUUGGUGUUACUGCGAAGGGGGGACGGAGAAGGCUAUGUUGGCCGGGCGACGGUUGUCCCGGUUUAAGCGUGUAGGCUGGUUUUCCAGGCAAAUCCGGAAAACCAAGGCUGAGGCGUGAUGACGAGGCACUACGGUGCUGAAGCGACAAAUGCCCUGCUUCCAGGAAAAGCCUCUAAGCAUCAGGUAACAUCAAAUCGUACCCCAAACCGACACAGGUGGUCAGGUAGAGAAUACCAAGGCGCUUGAGAGAACUCGGGUGAAGGAACUAGGCAAAAUGGUGCCGUAACUUCGGGAGAAGGCACGCUGAUAUGUAGGUGAAGCGACUUGCUCGUGGAGCUGAAAUCAGUCGAAGAUACCAGCUGGCUGCAACUGUUUAUUAAAAACACAGCACUGUGCAAACACGAAAGUGGACGUAUACGGUGUGACGCCUGCCCGGUGCCGGAAGGUUAAUUGAUGGGGUUAGCGGCAACGCGAAGCUCUUGAUCGAAGCCCCGGUAAACGGCGGCCGUAACUAUAACGGUCCUAAGGUAGCGAAAUUCCUUGUCGGGUAAGUUCCGACCUGCACGAAUGGCGUAAUGAUGGCCAGGCUGUCUCCACCCGAGACUCAGUGAAAUUGAACUCGCUGUGAAGAUGCAGUGUACCCGCGGCAAGACGGAAAGACCCCGUGAACCUUUACUAUAGCUUGACACUGAACAUUGAGCCUUGAUGUGUAGGAUAGGUGGGAGGCUUUGAAGUGUGGACGCCAGUCUGCAUGGAGCCGACCUUGAAAUACCACCCUUUAAUGUUUGAUGUUCUAACGUUGGCCCGUAAUCCGGGUUGCGGACAGUGUCUGGUGGGUAGUUUGACUGGGGCGGUCUCCUCCUAAAGAGUAACGGAGGAGCACGAAGGUUGGCUAAUCCUGGUCGGACAUCAGGAGGUUAGUGCAAUGGCAUAAGCCAGCUUGACUGCGAGCGUGACGGCGCGAGCAGGUGCGAAAGCAGGUCAUAGUGAUCCGGUGGUUCUGAAUGGAAGGGCCAUCGCUCAACGGAUAAAAGGUACUCCGGGGAUAACAGGCUGAUACCGCCCAAGAGUUCAUAUCGACGGCGGUGUUUGGCACCUCGAUGUCGGCUCAUCACAUCCUGGGGCUGAAGUAGGUCCCAAGGGUAUGGCUGUUCGCCAUUUAAAGUGGUACGCGAGCUGGGUUUAGAACGUCGUGAGACAGUUCGGUCCCUAUCUGCCGUGGGCGCUGGAGAACUGAGGGGGGCUGCUCCUAGUACGAGAGGACCGGAGUGGACGCAUCACUGGUGUUCGGGUUGUCAUGCCAAUGGCACUGCCCGGUAGCUAAAUGCGGAAGAGAUAAGUGCUGAAAGCAUCUAAGCACGAAACUUGCCCCGAGAUGAGUUCUCCCUGACUCCUUGAGAGUCCUGAAGGAACGUUGAAGACGACGACGUUGAUAGGCCGGGUGUGUAAGCGCAGCGAUGCGUUGAGCUAACCGGUACUAAUGAACCGUGAGGCUUAACCUU
rnacentral:rRNA from 1 species